CGUGUAGCCGGGCCGACAAGUCAGAUGUGAAAUCCACGGGCUUAACCCGUGAACUGCAUUUGAAACUGUUGGUCUUGAGUAUCGGAGAGGUAACCGGAAUUCCUAGUGUAGCGGUGAAAUGCGUAGAUAUUAGGAAGAACACCAGUGGCGAAGGCGGGUUACUGGACGACAACUGACGGUGAGGCGCGAAAACGUGGGGAGCAAACA
rnacentral:rRNA from 1 species